rnacentral:rRNA from 1 species
AUUAGCUGGGUGGAUUAGUGGCGAACGGGUGAGUAACACGUGAGUAACCUGCCCUUAACUCUGGGAUAAGCCUGGGAAACUGGGUCUAAUACCGGAUAGGAGCGUCCACCGCAUGGUGGGUGUUGGAAAGAUUUAUCGGUUUUGGAUGGACUCGCGGCCUAUCAGCUUGUUGGUGAGGUAAUGGCUCACCAAGGCGACGACGGGUAGCCGGCCUGAGAGGGUGACCGGCCACACUGGGACUGAGACACGGCCCAGACUCCUACGGGAGGCAGCAGUGGGGAAUAUUGCACAAUGGGCGAAAGCCUGAUGCAGCGACGCCGCGUGAGGGAUGACGGCCUUCGGGUUGUAAACCUCUUUCAGUAGGGAAGAAGCGAAAGUGACGGUACCUGCAGAAGAAGCACCGGCUAACUACGUGCCAGCAGCCGCGGUAAUACGUAGGGUGCGAUCGUUAUCCG